rnacentral:rRNA from 1 species
UACAGAGGGGGCAAGCGUUGUUCGGAAUUACUGGGCGUAAAGCGCACGUAGGCGGCUUUGUAAGUUAGAGGUGAAAGCCCAGGGCUCAACCCCUGGAAUUGCCUUUAAGACUGCAUCGCUUGAACAUCGGAGAGGUAAGUGGAAUUCCGAGUGUAGAGGUGAAAUUCGUAGAUAUUCGGAAGAACACCAGUGGCGAAGGCGACUUACUGGACGAUUGUUGACGCUGAGGUGCGAAAGCGUGGGGAGCAAACAGG